AUAUUGGCAAAACAAGGGAAAUCUUGCGACGCAAAACUAAGAGGGCCUAAAAGUUUUUUGAUUCAUGGCAGCCAGUUGC
rnacentral:ncRNA from 1 species